CCUGUCUCUGACUUAUUCAAGCAUUGGCUUUUUCCAGGUCCAACGUUUGAAGAACCUCUUAUCUUACUCCUUACAGAAUACAGUAAUUCCACCAAUCUCUGCUGCACUGAAGAGAGGAUUACAGUUACCCACAAUGGGCAAACUUGUUUUUUCUGAAGCUGUGAC